GCCGCACCUCUUUGCAACGGGGUCCUGGCACACAUCUCUCUCCCUCACCCUUCCUUCUCCACCACCGGCCGCCGCCGCGGCCAGGCCGGCGUGGCGGUGCACCACCCAGCCAUCCAUUCACUCCACCUCCACCAACGCCUCCUUCCUCCAACACCAUCCAGCACCAUCACGAGUUCACCACCUCUCCCCUCGCUGCACCCCUGCUGUCGUCUUCCCGAACCUUUGCUGCUCCUCUCCUCCGAUCUGAACUCUUCUGCCAUUCCCUGUGAUCCUUGCUGUUGCUCCAUACCCAUCGACUGACCAAGGACCUGAAGCCCCUCUUCUCCCCCUUGCUGUGGCGGCUGCCUCCUCUCCAUCGCGUCUCCCUUAGCGCUGCUGCUGCUCCUCUGGCUACAACUACUACUGCUACUCGUCUACAACCUGUCUCUGCUGCUACUCUCUCGCCAACGUCCCAACUGCUGCUGCUCUCUCCUCACGCCCCCUGCUGCUGCUCCUUUCCCAAUCUUGCUUCUCUCUCUCUCAUUUAUGUAAUGUUCAGUACUAUGUAAUGUUCAGUUUUGAUAAAUGUGAGUGACUGUUAUUUGUUCAGUUUGGUACUUGUAAUAAUGCUUGACUUGUAUUACUUUAGGCUGUGAGAAAUAAUUGUCAUUGAAAUCUUGCUCUGUGAUUUAGUAACAUUCUAGUAUAUGUGUGUGUUCACCUUGUGUACUAGUUAACUUUGUAUGUGUUUGAACCCAUUUAAAUAACUAGUCUCUGUAGUACCUAUGUACCUGUGACAUAUAUGCUUGUGAUAUAAAACAUUUUCAUGUUGUCCCAUAAUCUAGUUUCUUCUUUCUGUCAUAUGCUUGCUAGAUAUAUAUGUCUAUGUCUUUUGACUUCCCUUGUCAUUGAUGUUAUCAUUUUAGUUUUUAAGAUAAUAUGAAAAUACCAAAAAGACAAAGUGAAGAUAAUCUUCAUCUUACUUUGCUUCUGUGUUAUUUCCUUUGUUGAUGAUCUUAGUUAGUCUAGAUUUAAUAUUCUGCUUUCAUCACCCCAUAUUGUGUUACCUAGAUUUAGCCGAGCAUAGUCGUUGGUCGACUAGUCCCCGAGGAGAACACGACACUCGCAGUUUGGGCGUAAAACCUCGCUGUACUUACAAUCGAUCAUUUUGGCGCCGUUGCCAGGGACUAGCAUCGAGCGAUUGUGUGAAGCUAUAGACUAGGCUUAGUAUAGUUUUUGUUUAAAUUUCCAGUCAAAUUUAUGUCUUUGUUUCUUUUACCUUUUUACUUUUUGUUGCUUCGGCUUACUAGGGUACUAACCCUCUCACCAGUGUUUGAUGUUUGUGAGCGUGUGUAGGAUAUCUUACUAUUUGUAGGCUGAUUGACAUUUGCACUUGAACAUAUGGCUUUAGUACGUGAUCUUUGGUUGCCAAGUAGUUUGGACACGAUGACAGGGCCAAUUUGGCCAUCUAUUGAGGCUGGAAAUUUUGAGUUGAGGCCUGGACUUAUUGCUCUCGUCUUGCAGAAUCAGUUUAGAGGAUUACCCAAUGAAGACCCUCAUGAGCAAUUUGUAAUGUCCUGGAGUAUGCCAAUACAGUCAAGUACCAUGGCGUUUCCCAAGAUGCUAUCAAGUGUAUGUUGUUCACAUUCUCUCUCAGAGAUGCUGCUAAGGACUGGUACUAUUAUUUGCCAUCAAGAUCAUACACUUGGGGUGAUAUUUUCCACUUUACAAGCAAGCUACAAUUCGUGACCAGAUCCUCAAUUUUGCGCAAGAUGGAAGUGAGAGCUUGUAUGCAGCUUGGGAGAGAUAUAAGUAUUUGCUUGGAAAAUGUCCUAAUCAUGGGCAAAAGGAUUGGUUAGUGCUACAGAUAUUCUAUAGAGGGCUGACACAUGCUUCAAGAAAUCUUAUUGAUAUGUCAGCUGGUGGAACAAUCAUGAACAGGACCGUUGAGGGUGCAAUUAUUCUCAUUGAGAGCAUUGCCUUCCACCAAAUGCAAUGGAGUUAUGAAAGGCCUAGUUCAAAUCUGAAGGUUGCAAGCUGUGUGCAAUCAGGAGCUGUUUGUUCCAUAAGUGAACAGAAAUCAUCCAUGGUGCCUAAUAUUCAAAACCAGCAUGUUUCAUUCCGGGGACAACAACAUUUCAGAACUGAAUUAGAGCCUCCAUAUAGAAACAUUGAUCUUACUUCAAUUAUCCUUGAUGAUGAUUAUGAUAUUUUCCAAGAUGAUGCAACCACUGUAGAUCAGAUGGAUACCACGGUAGCAGAUCGAAUACCUCAUGGCAAUGAAACUGUUCAAAACGAGUCAAAGUUGCAAGAAGAUGUUUAUGAGGAACCUACUCUGAUUGACGCUAAGUUGAGACAGCAAGAUAUGGAGAAAUUCACUUGUGUUAGUCAGCUAUGUGACUGGUGGAAUUUAGUCGUGCAACCAAUUGCCCACACUUGUGUUACAACUGUAUCUGGACUAUUUGUCAAGAAGAAAUCAUUAGCUCCACCAGUGGUUGCCUCUAUCACAGUUAGAGAGAGUUAUCUCAGAGAAGAAUAGUAAAGAUGAGAUCCCAACUCCUGCACAUACAAUUAAGCAAGUCGGAGACAUUCCAAGGAGAGAGAUACAAGAGGUUGAGUCAAAUUUAAAAGAGCUGAUACUUCAAUAUCCUGAGAAGAUCCAACGUGUUGCUGAGCUGCAUGACUGGUGGAAGUCAUCGGUGUCACUGUUGAAACUUAGCAGUGAUGGUGAUGAGGAGAACAUUACUCAGAAAGACAGCGAGGUAGUGAUCUCAGCACCCCUACCAGAUCAUGUUAGUGAAUAUUCACAGGUGGGGACACUUCAGACUCAAUUAGGUGUUGCUGGUACAGCACCAUAGAAGAUCCAGAGGAAGAGAGACCUCAACUUGAAGAAGAAAUACUUGAAGACAAGGAACAGGAUGAUCCAGAGCUCGAAAAACCAAGUGAUCAACUUGAAGACUCAUCAUCUACUACUCUUGAAGAAGCAAAAUAAGUUGUUGUAGAUGAACUUGAAGAACCAGAAAUUCAUUUGCCAAUUUUCAUACAAGAGCGUGAUGUAGCAGGUUUAUCUAAUCCUCUUGAUGACAUGCGUCCCUAUGACUUAUUUGCUUCUACCUUGCAUUACAUGAUACCGUGAAUUAAGGUAGAUUUGAGAAAGUAUUUGCUUGGAUAUGAUGAUAUAUACCCUGUUCAUGGCAUUGCCCACAUUUGUUACGAUUACACUUAUUUUCCUCAUGCUAGACCCAUGCUUAAUGAAACAUGUCAUUCUCAUGGUAGCCUGGAGCUUAAUGAUUCAUAUCAUCUUCAUGCUAGCAUUGAGCUUACUGAUUUCUACCAUCCUAAACAUGUGCUUUAUAGCUAUUCUUAUGUAAUUGGGUACUCUAUUGAUGAUUUAGAGGGCAUCAACCCUAUCACUUGCAUUGUCUCUUUUGUUGUAUGCCUUUCCAGGUUUUUGCUACUGCACCGUUUACUACAUGCUGACCAGGUUCGGGGUGACAUCCCUUGGGAUCCCGGUGGAGUCAGAGCAUGGUGAUGAGGAGAAGCAAUGGGGCACACAUAUGGAAGAGAGAAGCUGGAGUUUGCAAGUGCAAGCAAAAGGAGAAGAGCUGCAGCUCAGAGAGUGAUUGUGCGAGACCAUCAAAGCCCGAAAAGUGCGACAAGGCACUAUAAACUUGAAGAUUUUGCCUACAAAGAAAGAGGAUACAAGACCGAGGGCUAAUAGAAGAGAAGGUUGGACUUGAGUAUGAAGAAUGAAAGAAUCGGAGGGCCAAAACUAAAGAAGAAAGGGAUCUACUUUAGGCAAAAGAAGAGAAGAAGCAGGGCAAAAGUGCAAAAUGGCAGAUCAGGGAGGGAUCAAAAUCCCUAGCCGCACCUCUUUGCAACGGGGUCCUGGCACACUUCUCUCUCCCUCACCCCUCCUUCACCACCGGCCGCCGCCGCGGCCAGGCCGGCGUGGCGGUGUGCCACCCAGCCAUCCAUCCACUCCGCCUCCACCAACGCCUCCUUCCUCCAACACCAUCCAGCACCAUCACGAGUUCACCACCUCUCCCCUCGCUGCACCCCUGCUGUCGUCUUCCCGAACCUUUGCAGCUCCUCUCCUCCAAUCUGAACUCUUCUGCCAUUCCCUGUGAUCCUUGCUGUUGCUCCAUACCCAUCGACUGACCAAGGACGUGAAGCCCUUCUUCUUCCCAUUGCUGCUGCGGCUGCCUCCUCUCCGUCGCGUCUCCCUUAGCGCUGUUGCUGCCCUCUGGUUACAACUGCUACUGCUACUCUUCUACAACCUGUGCUUUGCUGCUAGUCUCUCUCCAACGGCCCAACUGCUGCUGCUCUCUCCUCACGCCCCCUGCUGCUGCUCCUUUCCCUAUCUUGCUUCUCUCUCUCUCUCUCUCUCUCUCUCUCUCUCUCUCUCUCUCUCUCUCUCUCUCUCAUUUCUGUAAUGUUCAGUUUUGAUAAAUGUGAGUGACUGUUAUUUGUUCAGUUUGGUACUUGUAAUAAUGCUUGACUUGUAUUACUUUAGGCUGUGAGAAAUAAUUGUCAUUGAAAUCUUGCUCGGUGAUUUGGUAACAUUCUAGUAUAUGUGUGUGUUCACCUUGUGUACUAGUUCUUUGUACUAGUUAACUUUGUAUGUGUUUGAACCCAUUUAAAUAACUAGUCUCUGUAUUACCUA